rnacentral:rRNA from 1 species
AUGGAGAUGCCGAUUAAUGUGUUAGUCUGGAAUGUAAGGGGGCUGAAUAACCCUGCUAGGAGGUGUUCGAUCAGGCUUUUUACUCAAUCCUACAACAUUUCUUUAGUGUGUUUUCAAGAAUCAAAGUUUGCUAUUGUGGAUGCAGCGGUUGUGUGUGAAUGCCUGGGUCUUGCUUUUGAUGCUUUUGAUUAUCUUCAGGCGGAUGGCACAAGAGGAGGAAUUCUGUUAGCCUGGAAAUAUGAUAGGUUGCGGAUUUCGAACAUUCAGAAGGGUGAGUUUAUGAUCUCGGCUCACGCUCUUUCUCUGGAGGAUGGCAAAGAAUGGAUGGUGUCCCCGGUGUACGGGCCACAAGGUGAUGAGGAUAAAUUGAGGUUUCUGGAGCAGAUGGUGCAGUUCGGUGAUCAAGUGCACUUGCCUUGGAUUGUUACCGGGGAUUUCAAUCUGAUCUGCUCGGAAUUGGAGCGUAGUUCAGGGAGAGGUAACAGGAGACUCAUGUCUAAAUUUAGACAUGCUAUUAAUAGGCUUGGUCUACAUGAUAUGCCGAUGAUUGGAAGGAGGUAUACCUGGUGCAAUCAACAAGAACAUGCGGUGAUGGCGAGGUUAGAUCGUGUGUUAUUCAAUAAUGCUUGGGAGGAG